GACGAACGCUGGCGGCGUGCCUAACACAUGCAAGUCGAACGGAAAGGCCCUGCUUUUGUGGGGUGCUCGAGUGGCGAACGGGUGAGUAACACGUGCGUAACCUGCCCUUGACUUUGGGAUAACUUCAGGAAACUGGAGCUAAUACCGGAUAGGAGCUCUUUCUGCAUGCUGGGUGUUGGGAAGUGUCGGCGGUUGGGGUUGGACUCGCGGCUUAUCAGCUUGUUGGUGGGGUAGUGGCUUACCACGGCAUUGACGGGUAGGCGGCCUGAGAGGGUGACCGGCAACAUUGGGACUGAGAUACGGCGCAGACUCCUACGGGAGGCAGCAGUGGGGAAUAUUAUACAAUGGGAGGAAGCCUGAUGCAGCCACGCCGCGCGCGGGAAGACAGCCAUCGGGUUGUAAACCGCUUUCGCCUGUGACGAAGCGUGAGUGACGGUAAUGGGGAAAGAAGCACCGGCUAACUACGUG
rnacentral:rRNA from 1 species